AGCGAACGCUGGCGGCAGGCCUAACACAUGCAAGUCGAACGGGCUCUUCGGAGCUAGUGGCGGACGGGUGAGUAACACGUGGGAACGUGCCUUUAGGUUCGGAAUAAGCCCGGGCAACUGGGUCUAAUACCGGAUGUGCCCUUCGGGGGAAAGAUUUAUCGCCUUUAGAGCGGCCCGCGUCUGAUUAGCUAGUUGGUGGUGUAAUGGACCACAAAGGCGACGAUCAGUAGCUGGUCUGAGAGGAUGAUAAGCCACAUUGGGACUGGGGCACGGCCCAAACUCCUGCGGGAGGCAGCAGUGGGGAAUCUUGCGCAAUGGGCGAAAGCCUGACGCAGUCAUGCCGCGUGAAUGAUGAAGGUCUUAGGAUUGUAAAAUUCUUUCACCGGGGACGAUAAUGACGGUACCCGGAGAAGAAGCCCCGGCUAACUUCGUGCCAGCCGCCGCCGUAA
rnacentral:rRNA from 1 species